rnacentral:rRNA from 1 species
ACGAACGCUGGCGGCAUGCCUAACACAUGCAAGUCGAACGAGACCUUCGGGUCUAGUGGCGCACGGGUGCGUAACGCGUGGGAACCUGCCCUUAGGUUCGGAAUAACUCCCCGAAAGGGGUGCUAAUACCGGAUAAUGUCUUCGGACCAAAGAUUUAUCGCCUUUGGAUGGGCCCGCGUUGGAUUAGCUAGUUGGUAGGGUAAAAGCCUACCAAGGCGACGAUCCAUAGCUGGUCUGAGAGGAUGAUCAGCCACACUGGGACUGAGACACGGCCCAGACUCCUACGGGAGGCAGCAGUGGGGAAUAUUGGGCAAUGGGCGAAAGCCUGAUCCAGCAAUGCCGCGUGAGUGAUGAAGGCCUUAGGGUUGUAAAGCUCUUUUACCCGGGAUGAUAAUGACAGUACCGGGAGAAUAAGCUCCGGCUAACUCCGU